AGUGGAAGCGUCUGGAAAGGCGCGCGAUACAGGGUGACAGCCCCGUACACAAAAGCGCAUGUGCUGUGAGCUCGAUGAGUAGGGCGGGACACGUGGUAUCCUGUCUGAAUAUGGGGGGACCAUCCUCCAAGGCUAAAUACUCCUGACUGACCGAUAGUGAACCAGUACCGUGAGGGAAAGGCGAAAAGAACCCCGGCGAGGGGAGUGAAAAAGAACCUGAAACCGUGUACGUACAAGCAGUGGGAGCACCCUUUGGGGUGUGACUGCGUACCUUUUGUAUAAUGGGUCAGCGACUUAUAUUCUGUAGCAAGGUUAACCGWAUAGGGGAGCCGKAGGGAAACCGAGUCUUAAYYGGGCGUUAAGUUGCAGGGUAUAGACCCGAAACCCGGUGAUCUAGCCAUGGGCAGGUUGAAGGUUGGGUAACACUAACUGGAGGACCGAACCGACUAAUGUUGAAAAAUUAGCGGAUGACCUGUGGCUGGGGGUGAAAGGCCAAUCAAACCGGGAGAUAGCUGGUUCUCCCCGAAAGCUAUUUAGGUAGCGCCUCGUGAAYUCAUCUCCGGGGGUAGAGCACUGUUUCGGCUAGGGGGCCAUCCCGGCUU
rnacentral:rRNA from 1 species